GCAGUGAUGGGGGGCUUGGGGAGGCGACCGCUGAGGUGUUGGGGGUGACCGUUGAGGUUGGGAGGUUUGGGUGGCGACCACUGAUGGGGGGCCGGGGUGCUCACAGGGUGGCCAUCACACUGGAAGCCCCGAGGGUUUUCCCCCUGUGAGCCCCUGUGCUUAUCCCCUGUGUUUGUAAUAAAAACGCAAUAAAAAAGCACGGGGGUGCUUGCGAGGGGUGGUGGAGGUGGGAGAGAGCUGGUGGGUUUCUUUCAGCAAUUGUAGGGGUGGAGGGGUCAGGGAUGGAGGCUGGGUCGAGUCCAAGUGAAGGAGCCCCGGCUGGUUGUGCAGCCUGUGAGCGAGCUGUAAGUCGCGGUUUGCAGGCUCGCGGUUUGCAGGCACGCGGGUCUGCAACGCUUGGCCAAGCCCGCCGAGUCCCACCACGCUGCUUCUCUCGCCCACAGAAGUCCUACGAGCACUUGGCAAAAAUACGAGUCGCGAGAGAAGUGCCUCCAGAAUGCAGCUGCCCACCAGAUGAAAUUAGUCAGUGAAUUUGACCUGGAUUCAUUAAUCCUUUCAAUAUGACUGAAACCACAUGUUUACUGAAGAAAACCCUGUCUGCGUGAGCUGAAUGCCCUUGUCUUGGAUGUAAAUGGAGAAAAAAGAAUAGUGCUAUGGAGUAGUCACUGCUUCACAAGAUCAGGUCCAGCACUACUGUCAUGCAGUUAGGAGUGAGAAUUGGAAGAGCAAUUUGUCCAAAUUUCUCACGCACAUUCUCUAGUGUAGCACGUUGUGUAUAUACUGCUGAAAGCACUGUGCUCUUGAGAGAUUUUCUUUAUUUAGGUUCAGUAGUUUUCUUAUCCUCCUACGGUUGAUAACUUCACAGAGAAACUUGAGCCCAGAUGAGUAGAACAGGAAGUGUUUUAAAUCUUGUGGAUAUGAAGGAUGAUAGUGUUGCUGUUUCAUGUUAGCUUGAUGCUGAAGAAUUUACUUUUGUUUUUAAAAUACAUACUAAUAAUAUGCUGCCUUUGCUGUUGCAUUCCACGGGGUUGUCUGUCUGUGCACGUGCACAUAGGUGUGACAAAUUCCUUUAUUGUAUUCUUAUUUUUUUUUCUUCAGAUUGUAUGCUAUGAUCAGCUUUAGGUGCUAAGCUGAUUUUAAAUCAUCUGAACUUUUGCCUCUUCAAUCACUGGCUAUUUAGCUCACAUUUCCCUAACAUGUAGUUUAAACUUAUCUUUUGAUUAAUGCUGCCACAAAAUGUGCAGGUGCACUUGGGUUUUUGCAUGUUUUACUUCAGUGGGUGGGUACAAGGUUACAAGAACUGAUGUGCAGAUGUGUGUUUUUUUUGAAUGUAUACAAGCAUAUAUGUGCUCGUCCAUGGAGCUACAUAGAAAAUGAGUUGUCAUUCUGUGAUUGGGAAGGGAAGAAAAGCAGAGGAGGCUGACCUCCUCAUUACAUCACGUCAAUAUUUUGUUCAAGGUAUGGACGCAUCCAGGUAUGUUCAUGAUGUAAUGCCUCGAUCCUCCUAGCACUGUGAAAAUCGUACGUAUUUUUGCUCUUCUCCCUUCAUCUGAAAUUAAUUCAUGGGUUUUCAGAACCUUUUGUGCGAAGUCUAGUGCAUAUUUUCCUCUGCUAGAUCAGUGAGAGUCAAAGUGAACCCCGCUGAAGUCUGACACAACUAGGAGGAGAGGACAAACGGUUAUUAACUGUUUUGCUCCGGAACUGAAGCAUGCCAUUGCCUUUCCACAGGCUGUGGGCAGGUAUGCCGUCACUAGUCACAAGACAGAAUUUCCACUGCCUUUCAGUAAGAGUAGAAUGGCUUUGCCUUUGUGGCAGUGUCUGGCUGUAUUUCUAGAUAGAAAAUUGUGUACUGUUUACACCUUGUGGCAGAGUGCUUCUGCCAGUUGUGGUGUGUGCAGGUUGUGUUUUAGUAGUAAGGAUGUGGAUAAACUUUUUACCUUGAGUGCUUAACGUGAGGCACGCCAGCUCCAUGACACUUACAUAAGCAGCUGAUUUCCCUUUGAAAUCAAUAAGAACACUUUGAAAAUAUGUCUUUUGAUGUAUGCUUAAAUGCCUAACACUUGGCAUCUAAAGUUUAAAGAACUAUACUGCCAUUGACAUCUAUAGCAUGUGUGUCGGAUCAAAGGCCCUACCUUCUGGGACCUGCCUAAAUAGAUUCACGGCAGAAGAAAGUAUCUGAGCACUAGGUACUUUUAUCAGCAGUGUAAUCUUUCACAGGGACAUGAGUUUUUCAGAAGGAUCUUUUUUUCAGGGGAGGAGUCAGAAAAGAGGCAUGUGUUCUUGGUGUUGGAAGCCUGCUUGUGCCUUACAUGCUGACCUUUUUCAGGAACAGUCCAUCCAUACAUAAAGGAAUGCAGUGCUGACAAGUUCAAUGUAGUUUGGCUGAACUUCCUUAAAAGAGGCAACUGGGGAGGGGAAAAAAAAAAGAUGCAGGGGCUGCUUUUUUUCUCACAAACACUUAAACUUUCUUAUGUUUUGUUUUGUUUGUCAUUGGAUGUGACUUAAAGGCAAUCUUUUAUUUUUUCCUCCCCUCCCUUUGUUUUAUUUCCUUUGACUGUAUAAAACUUGUGCAAUAAAUUCUGUUGCAGUGAAUUCUGUUUGGCUCA
ensembl:lncRNA